CCCUUCUCCACUUCGACGAACCCAUCAGACUCCAUUUUUGUCUACCUGCGAAUCCAUCCACCCCUGUUUGCGCACGACUUGAUCUCCAUUUUCGGCUACGCUGCGUCAACUCCUCCCUCGUUCUUACUGGCCCAUUUUUCGAGUCCCAUUUUACCCUUCUCCCCUUCGUUCGUGUUUCUCCAUUUUCGGCUACCUGCAAAUCCACCCAUCGGUUACCACAGUUUGCACACGGCUUUCUCUCCACUUGAUUGUCCUUCCGCGGAAGCUGGGCCCUACGUUUCCUUCCCCUACAAAAUCACUGGAUAUCCCUUUCAUGGUUCGAAUUCGAACCAUUGAUGCCACUAAGAAAUUAUUUAUGACCGUUGCGUCAAAGGAGAAAUUGUGAAAAUUUGGAGGAGGCUUCCAAAAUGACCAGCCCUUCCUUCAGCACCAAGACUUGGGAAGUCAGUUAACACUAUCGGCCUCCAAAGCCGUCUGCUUCAAACAAUCAACAUUACAGAAUCCAACUGAUCUCACCAUGUCUCCCAAGCUGCCAUGAUCAAGAUUACAACAGUCAGUCACAUUGGUUUAAUCAAACAAGUACAAGAACUGGGUUGGAAAUUCUUAUAAAAAUUCAACUGACCGGUCGAAGCUAUUUCUUGCUCUCUCUGACUGAUCUGUGCUGUUCCUUGGCUUUCCAGACCGAUCCAUGCUCCUUCUCGACUUCUCCCUCUUGUCGAUGCUGGUUCUUGAUUUUUCCCUAUUGUCCAUGCUCAGUCUAGAUUUCUCUCUCUGUCCAGUACUAGGCCUAGACUUCUCUCGUUGCUCUGUGCUUGCUCUGGACUUUUGGUCUGUGGCAAUCAGUGAGUUCUCUGAUUGUUCUCUACUUUCUUCAGACUCAAUAAUUUGGAGAGGUGGUAGUUUCUCUACGGCUGUUAUGAACUUCCUCAGAUGCCUUAAGUACUCUGGGAAGAGUUCCAGAUUGCAGUGGUUUCCUCCAAUAAGCCACAAAGGUUCGUACUUCUCCUUGCAAAGCUCCCAGAGCUGCUUGCCAUGGGAGACAUCCACAACUUCAUCUUCCGUUCCCUGCAAUUAUCAUUAAUACGAGUGUCAAAUCAAACGACACUCAGUAACCGACAUGAAGUGGUUGGUUUUUAGAACUUUAUGCUAUGGCCUGUAAAAGUCCUAAACUAGUUUGUGGCUAAAAGCCACAAGGGGGUGUCAAGUUUCCCAUGAAUUUCAUACUAACUAGCAUGAACUGCCUGAUUUCUUGCCUUUCUCACAAUGUUUUUUUAAAUUCAUUGAUCACAAAAUGCUUGAAUAAAAUCCAUCACAUGCCAUUACAGAGUCACAA